UUCAAUCUGGCUCUGACUAUUUAAUGAGAAACUCCAAGAGGGAGGAUGCAGGGAGCUGACAUCUGAGAAGGCUGCCCACAUGGGCCUCCUGCUCUCAGGAGAAGAUCAGAAAGCCACAUCCUUUGCUUUCUCAGACCUGGGAAAUCGGUUCGCUACCCUGAGAAUAAACCUGGGAAUCGGUUCUCUACCCCGAGCCAAGGCCAGCCUAAGAGCUCUGCCCCCCACCCCGCCGGAGUCUUCGCCCUUACUUGGACAGCGCUUCCGGUCGGCGGGGCGGUGACGUCCGAAGGGUCACGUAAGCGGCUGUUUUACCUGAAGUGUCAAGGAUGUGCGUUUCACUUCCCGGCGAUGAUCUGUAGUUCUAUUCCGGAAACUGACAAGAAAUUUAGCGAGACCCUUAGGAAGUCUCACUGGAGGACUGGCUGCCCCUCUACCAAACCGCCUCCCACAGUUGCUCCCACCAAGUGAAAUAGGAAGUAAUUUGGCCUGGGGGCUGACCGGGGAGAUGCCCGAAAAAAACUGUGGCAGGACGCCUAGUGCCAGGCAGAGGCCUGGCAUCACAAAGGAAGAGAAGUCACAAGAAGCUCGGGCUCAUAUUUCAACCAGGUUUCUUCAUGGAGCCUUCCUGGGAUGAGGGUGGUGGUGUCCUCAUUUUGGAGUCCAGCUGUGUUCUAGUGAAGCCUGGCAACCCAGUUUCCUCUUCUGCUGGCUCAUGGAAACAAAGAACAGCUGUCCUGCCUUCGGAUGGUUUAAAAAUGAGAGUUUUGGGUCUAACAUUUAAGUCUUUAAUCCACUUUGAAUUUAUUCUUGUGUGUGGUAUAAGAAGGUGGUCUAGUUUCAUUUUUAGGAACAUUGCUAUCCAGUUUUCCAACACCACUUAUUGAAUAAACUAUCUUUAG